GCCUAGUUAGCUUAGUUGGUAGUGCGUCUGCCUUUCAAUCGCUAGGUUGCGGGUUCGAUCCCCGCCCGGGGCG
rnacentral:tRNA from 1 species